rnacentral:rRNA from 1 species
UACGUAGGUGGCGAGCGUUGUCCGGAUUUACUGGGCGUAAAGAGCGCGCAGGCGGUCGUACAAGUCGCGUGUGAAAGCCCCCGGCUCAACUGGGGAGGGUCACGCGAUACUGUUCGACUCGAAGGCAGGAGAGGGAAGUGGAAUUCCCGGUGUAGUGGUGAAAUGCGUAGAUAUCAUCUGGAACGCCAAUGGUGAAAACAGCUCGCUGGGGGUUUGCAGACGCUGAGACACGAAAGCCAGGGGAGCGAACGGG